UAUGGUCAGGGUUAAACAGGUUAAACUACAUUACACUUUAAAAGUUUUGUCAAAGUACAAGAUUUGGUUGAGGUCAGCAAACAAUUGAAAGACAUAACAACUGUCCAAAGGAUUCUCGCUUUCUAUUCAAUAAGACAAUAUGAAAAGUUUGAAUUGAGAUGAGUUCUGGUAUUUUCAGUUCCGAUUGAAGAGUAUUCCAGAACAAAGUGGCAUUUAAGAAUGGCAUUCAAAAGAAAAUGAGGAUAAAAAUAUAGAGAGAGAAAAAAAGAGAAAAACAUAUUUUUACAUAAAUGUGUAAUAUGUGGGUAAUGGUGCAAACUGUUAGAGGUAAAUAGUAUAUAACAUGUGCAAAACUGCCUGAGAUAAAUAAGAUGUUCAAUGUGCUAGACUGUCAGAAAUGAACAGUAUGAUAUAGAUAUGAGGUGCAACACUUCGAUUAUACUUGAGGUGGUCAUUAAAGAUUUACCUUUCUAUAUGUUCCUCCUGGUUUGUCCACUGGUGCAGCAGUACAAACCCC